rnacentral:rRNA from 1 species
AGAACGAACGCUGGCGGCAUGCCUAACACAUGCAAGUCGAACGAGACCUUCGGGUCUAGUGGCGCACGGGUGCGUAACGCGUGGGAAUCUGCCCUUGGGUUCGGAAUAACAGUUGGGAGCGACUGCUAAUACCGGAUGAUGACGUAAGUCCAAAGAUUUAUCGCCCAGGGAUGAGCCCGCGUAGGAUUAGCUAGUUGGUGAGGUAAAGGCUCACCAAGGCGACGAUCCUUAGCUGGUCUGAGAGGAUGAUCAGCCACACUGGGACUGAGACACGGCCCAGACUCCUACGGGAGGCAGCAGUGGGGAAUAUUGGACAAUGGGCGCAAGCCUGAUCAGCAAUGCCGCGUGAGUGAUGAAGGCCUUAGGGUGUAAAGCUCUUUACCGGAUGAUAUGACAGUACCGGAGAAUAAGCUCGGCUAACUCCGUGCCAGCAGCCG